GACGAACGCUGGCGGCGUGCUUAACACAUGCAAGUCGAGCGAUGAAGCUCCUUCGGGAGUGGAUUAGCGGCGGACGGGUGAGUAACACGUGGGCAACCUGCCUUGUAGAGAGGAAUAGCCAUCCGAAAGGAUGAUUAAUACCUCAUAAUAUUGUAGCUUCGCAUGGAGCAACAAUCAAAGGAGCAAUCCACUAUAAGAUGGGCCCGCGUCGCAUUAGCUAGGUUGUGAGGUAACGGCUCACCAAGGCGACGAUGCGUAGCCGACCUGAGAGGGGUAUCGGCAACAUUGGGACUGAGACACAGCCCAGACUCCUACGGGAGGCAGCAGUGGGGAACAUUGCACAAUGGGGGAAACCCUGAUGCAACAACGCCGCGUGAGUGAUGACGGCCUUCGGGUCGUAAAGCUCUGUCUUCAGGGACGAUAAUGACGGUACCUGAGGAGGAAGCCACGGCUAACUACGUGCCAGCAGCCGCCGUAA
rnacentral:rRNA from 1 species